rnacentral:rRNA from 1 species
AUACGGAGGGUGCGAGCGUUACUCGGAAUCACUGGGCGUAAAGCACGCGCAGGCGGCUUGAUAAGUUGGAUGUGAAAGCCUACGGCUCAACCGUAGAACUGCAUCCAAAACUGUCAAGCUAGAGGCUGGGAGGGGAAGAUGGAAUUAGUUGUGUAGGGGUAAAAUCCGUAGAGAUAACUAGGAAUACCAAAAGCGAAGGCGAUCUUCUGGAACAGUACUGACGCUGAGGCGCGAAAGCGUGGGGAGCAAACAGGAUUAGAAACCCCAGUAGUCC